AAAGUAUUUGUCUGAAUCUAAAAUCAAGAAUUAAAACUUUCAACAAAGGAUCUCUUGGCUCUCGCAUCGAUGAAGAACGCAGCGAAGCGCGAAAUGUAGUGUGAAUCGCAGAACAUUGUGAAUCAUCGAAUCUUUGAACGCACAUUGCGCCUCCCGUUACUGGGAGGCAUGCCUGUCUGAGCGUCAUUUAAAACGUAGCACCCCACCAAGGGUCUGUCUUGGGCCUCGCCUGUGGGCGUAGCCUCAAAGUCAUCGGUCUAAAGAGCGGACGAGAUCCAUUGGGACAGACCGUUCUGCGACCUUAAAUCUCCGACUUGACCUCAGAUCAGGUAGGGCUACCG
rnacentral:rRNA from 1 species